ACUCCUACGGGAGGCAGCAGUAGGGAAUCUUCCACAAUGGGCGCAAGCCUGAUGGAGCAACACCGCGUGAGUGAAGAAGGGUUUCGGCUCGUAAAGCUCUGUUGUUAAAGAAGAACACGUAUGAGAGUAACUGUUCAUACGUUGACGGUAUUUAACCAGAAAGUCACGGCUAACUACGUGCCAGCAGCCACGGUAAUACGUAGGUGGCAAGCGUUAUCCGGAUUUAUUGGACGUAAAGAGAGUGCAGGCGGUUUUCUAAGUCUGAUGUGAAAGCCUUCGGCUUAACCGGAGAAGUGCAUCGGAAACUGGAUAACUUGAGUGCAGAAGAGGGUAGUGGAACUCCAUGUGUAGCGGUGGAAUGCGUAGAUAUAUGGAAGAACACCAGUGGCGAAGGCGGCUACCUGGUCUGCAACUGACGCUGAGACUCGAAAGCAUGGGUAGCGAACAGGAUUAGAUACCCCUGGUAGGAUAGCG
rnacentral:rRNA from 1 species